rnacentral:rRNA from 1 species
AUUGAACGCUGGCGGAAUGCUUUACACAUGCAAGUCGAACGGCAGCACGGGGGCAACCCUGGUGGCGAGUGGCGAACGGGUGAGUACCAUAUCGGAACGUAUCCAAUAAUGGGGGAUAACGAGUCGAAAGAUUCGCUAAUACCGCAUACGCCCUACGGGGGAAAGCUGGGGACCUUCGGGCCUGGCGUUAAUGGAGCGGCCGAUAUCUGAUUAGCUAGUUGGUGAGGUAAAGGCUCACCAAGGCGGCGAUCAGUAGCUGGUCUGAGAGGACGACCAGCAACACUGGAACUGAGACACGGUCCAGACUCCUACGGGAGGCAGCAGUGGGGAAUUUUGGACAAUGGGCGUAAGCCUGAUCCAGCCAUUCCGCGUGAGUGAAGAAGGCCUUCGGGUUGUAAAGCUCUUUCGCAAGGGAAGAAAACUUAGCCACUAACAUUGGUUGAGGUUGACGGUACCUUGAUAAGAAGCACCGGCUAACUACGUGCCAGCAGCCGCAGUAA